GUAGAGCAAUGUUGCAUCCAAAUCAGAACAGUGACUCAAGGCAAGUUAGUCAGAGAGCAAAGUCAUUCCUGUAUGUCCAGAUGCUAUUGUGGGGGGAAGCACUAUAAAUAUGAUAGUCAUUACUGAGAUACUGGAGUGAGCGAGCUUUAUGGGUAAUCUCAGGUACUGACCUCAUAAAUACCAAGCAUUAACUCUCUAUUCUGUUGUGUUUUUUUCCAGAGACCUAGUCACUAUCACGAACAACAAAUUAUUUUAUGAGGGUUUCCUAGGAACCGAAACCAGUAAAUUCCAGUGAUGUGAACCAAAUUCUAUAGAACUUUGUAAACAGAGUGCCUGUUUGAUAUUUCAAAGAAGUAUGUAUUCUGCAAGUUGAGAGCCAGGAACCAGUCUGGAGCUUGGAAUGAUGGAGGGAAGUGUUACCAUUCUGAACCUGAGACAUGUACAUAUUUGUUCAGUCUGCUCAAGUCUAAAAUAGAAGAAAGAGGGUUUUCGUCCUUCGAAAUGAGGAAAUACCGACAGUAGAAGCCGUUACCCCUAUACUCUGGAGGAACCUCCUUUACAGCUC